UGGAGGCAGCAGUGAGGAAUUUUCGUCAAUGGCCGAAAGGCUGAACGAGCAACGCCGCGUGCAGGACGAAGGUCUUCGGAUCGUAAACUGCUUUUCUCUGGGACGAGCUUUGGACGGUACCAGAGGAAGAAGCCCCGGCUAACUACGUGCCAGCAGCCGCGGUAAUACGUAGGGGGCGAGCGUUGUCCGGAUUUAUUGGGCGUAAAGGGCGCGUAGGCGGUUUCUUAAGUUUGAAGUGACAGUGGGUGGCUUAACUACCCAAGGCCUUUGAAAACUGGGGAACUUGAGGACCAGAGAGGGACAUAGAAUUCCGGGUGGAGUGGUGAAAUGCGUAGAUAUCCGGAGGAAUACCAAAGGCGAAGGCAGUGUCCUGGAGGGUGACUGACGCUGAGGCGCGAAAGCUAGGGGAGCGAACAGGAUUAGAUACCCCUGUAGUCGG
rnacentral:rRNA from 1 species